CGAAGCAGUAGAGGCUUGGAAGUUCGCCCCAAAGAUGGGCGCUUACGGGACGGACAGAGUCAGUGGCGCAACCUGCUACUUCAUAA
rnacentral:ncRNA from 1 species